rnacentral:rRNA from 1 species
UGUAAUUGAGUGGUGGCAGGCGGUGGAGUGCGUGGGGGGCAAGGGGUGUCCGGAGUCAGUGGGGGGAAAGGUGGCGUAGGCGGCCCGGUAAGGCCGCUGGGAAAGGCCAGGGGUAAACGCUGGAAAGCCGGUGGAUACGGCCGGGCUAGAGUCCGGAGGAGGCGAGUGGAAUUCCUGGUGUAGCGGUGGAAUGCGCAGAUAUCAGGAGGAACACCAAUAGCGAAGGCAGCUCGCUGGGACGGUACUGACGCUGAGGUGCGAAAGCGUGGGGAGCGAACAGGAUUAGAUACCCUUGUAGUC